AGAGUUUGAUCCUGGCUCAGGAUGAACGCUGGCGGCGUGCUUAACACAUGCAAGUCGAACGGGAACCCCUGGAUUCGUCUGGGGGGGAGAGUGGCGAACGGGUGAGUAACACGUAGGUGACCUGCCUCGAAGACGGGGAUAACCACUGGAAACGGUGGCUAAUACCCGAUAGUCUCGACGAUUCGGUUCGUCGAGUAAAUGUUCCGGCGCUUCGAGAGGGGCCUGCGGCCCAUCAGCUAGUUGGUAGGGUAAUGGCCUACCAAGGCAAAGACGGGUAGGGGACGUGAGAGCGUGACCCCCCACACUGGCACUGAGACACGGGCCAGACUCCUACGGGAGGCAGCAGUGAGGAAUAUUGCGCAAUGGGCGAAAGCCAGACGCAGCAACGCCGCGUGGGUGAUGAAGGCCUUCGGGUCGUAAAACCCUUUUCUGGGAGAAGAGCAAGGACGGUAUCCCAGGAAUAAGCCUCGGCUAACUAUGUGCCAGCAGCCGCGGUAACACAUAGGAGGCGAGCGUUAUCCGGAUUUACAGGGCGUAAAGAGCGUUGAGGCGGCCUUGUAAGUUGGACGUGAAAGCUCCCGGCUCAACUGGGAGAGGUCGUUCAAUACUGCAAGGCUUGAGGACAGCAGAGGGGGGUGGAAUUCCCGGUGUAGUGGUGAAAUGCGUAGAUACCGGGAGGAACACCAGUGGCGAAGGCGGCCCCCUGGGCUCUCCUGACGCUGAAUGCGAAAGCUAGGGUAGCAAACGGGAUUAGAAACCCCGGUAGUCCUAGCCGUAAACGAUGGAUACUAGGUGUAGGGGGUGAAAAUUCCCUCUGUGCCGAAGCUAACGCGUUAAGUAUCCCGCCUGGGGAGUACGGCCGCAAGGCUAAAACUCAAAGGAAUUGACGGGUCUCCGCACAAGCAGCGGAGCGUGUGGUUUAAUUCGAUUCCGACGCGAAGAACCUUACCAGGGCUUGACAUGCAGGUAGUAGUGAAGCGAAAGCGGAACGAUCCCUCGGGAAGCCUGUACAGGUGCUGCAUGGCUGUCGUCAGCUCGUGCCGUGAGGUGUUAGGUUAAGUCCUGUAACGAGCGCAACCCUCACCGUUAGUUACAUGUGUCUAGCGGAACUGCCCGGCAAAACUGGGAGGAAGGUGGGGAUGACGUCAAGUCAGCAUGCCCUUUAUGUCCUGGGCUACACACACGCUACAAUGGCCGGUACAAUGGGUCGCCAAGCCGUGAGGCGGAGCCAAUCCUCUAAAGCCGGUCUCAGUUCGGAUUGUAGGCUGCAACUCGCCUGCAUGAAGCUGGAGUUGCUAGUAACCGCAGGUCAGCUACACUGCGGUGAAUACGUUCCCGGAGAUUGUACACACCGCCCGUCACGUCAUGGGAGCUGGUAACACCUGAAGCCGGUGGGCUAACCUAACGGAGGCAGCCGUCGAAGGUGGGACUGGUGACUGGGACGAAGUCGUAACAAGGUA
rnacentral:rRNA from 1 species